rnacentral:lncRNA from 1 species
GGAAGACCAAGUUCUGACCUCCUGGUUCCAAAGAAGCUGGUGUAGUGUCUGAGUUACACUCCCCAUGUUGCAUUGCCUGACGUACACUGGAAGAAAUUAGAGAACUAAGAAAAAGCAAAGUUGUGCGUGCACGAACAUUUCUGGGGGGAACAAAGCUGCUCCCUCCGCAGCAGCUGAGCUGGAGGAAGAGACGAGACAGCUCGCAUCAAACUGGGCCACAGCUCCCCUG